rnacentral:rRNA from 1 species
CUUUACUAUAGCUUUGCAUGGAAUCCGGCACAUUCAUGUGUAGGAUAGGCGGGAGGCGAUGAAGCGGGGACGCCAGUUUCCGUGGAGCCACCCUUGAAAUACCGCCCUUGACUGGGCUGGAUUCUAACCUCUGCACAACAGAGGGACAGUGCAUGGUGGGUAGUUUGACUGGGGCGGUCGCCUCCUAAAGUGUAACGGAGGCUCCCAAAGGUUGGCUUGGCGCGGUCGGCAAUCGCGCCUGAAGUGUAAAGGCAUAAGCCAGCUUGACUGUGAGGCCGACGGGCCGAACAGCUGGGAAACCAGGGCUUAGUGAUCCGGCGGUACCGUAUGGAAGGGCCGUCGCUCAAAGGAUAAAAGGUA